CUUGGAGUGUGUUGCCAUGCCCUCCUCCAGGGGAUCCUCCCAACCCAGGGACUGAAUCUGCGUCUCUUUCAUCUCCUGGCAUCCAUUUAUUUUUAUCCUAUAUAAUCAUUUUGAUGAUUAAUUUUAUAUCAAUUUGACUGGGCUGCCCAGAAGACUAUUUACUGGGUGUGUCUGUAAAGAUGUUUCUGGAAGAGACUAGCAUUUGACUGUGUGAAGAAGAUCCCCCUCCCCCACAUGAAUGGGUCUCUUCCCAUUUGUGGGGGGCCUAAUUAGAACAAAAAGAGGAAGAAUGAACUUGCUCUCUGCUUGAACUGAGACAUUCAUCUUCUGCCUUCUGAUAGCUGCACUCCUGGUUCUUGGGUCACUGGACUUGGACUAGGACUCACACCAUUGGCUCCUCUGGUUCUCUGGAUUUUGGGUUUAGACUGGAUCAACACCACUGGCUUUCCUGGGCCUCCAGUUUGCAGGUGAUAGAUCAGGAAACACUGACUCAUGGACAUGAAUUUGAUCAAACUCUGGGAGACAGUGAAGGACAGAGGAGCCUGGCAUGCUGCAGUCCAUGAGGUCACAAAGAGCUGGACACGACUUAGUGAAUGAACAACAAAAAGAUCAGGAUCAACGACACUUGUCAGAGGGAAAGUAAACAUGCUGGAGACAGAUGUCCCACUUCACACUUUCUGCCAUCAGUGGGUCCUGCCAGAAUGUAGUCUGCGCAUGGAUUUCUCCCUGCAGAGAUUCUGGUUCUCUGCAGACACUCUCUGAGACACUCCUGGUUGGAAUGGAAAUUGUGCUAAGGAUAGAAAGAAUUUCCAAAGAAACUGCCAAUGACAAAAGUCCUGUGAUGAGCUUCCGUCCCUGCACCCAACCUGCUCUGAGGGCAUACUGUUUAAAAUCCAAAGUCCCUGGCGUGGAGCUUGUGAAACCCAGGACGUUCGCACUGGGUAUGUUUCAGUUUUAUUCUUUGCUUUUCUUGGCAAAGCCCCUUCCAACAGCUUCAGAUGAGAAUAGUCGAGAUGAAAGUGUUUCGGAAGCACUUACACAAUAAUCCUGUCACUCGUGGACUUAGAAAACCGAUCCACUUUUCCUGAGGAUAUGACAAGCCAGAGUGUG
ensembl:lncRNA